GCCCCUGGGCUGCAGCCCCGGGCUCCCUCCCGGGGAAGACUCCAGCGCUCUUCUGUCCCUACACUUUCUGUUCCCGGCCUUGCCAGUUGCCAGCGGCCAGGGGCGCAGGGGUCGGCGUUCCACGUGUGUCCCGCGUGAAGAACCCAAGUGCGCACAACUGCCCCGCGCAGCCGGGACCUGCCCCACCGCCCUUCCUUCUUCCGCCUGCUGCCCGCGAGGCCCAGCCCUGCCUCGGCCCGCACCGGGCACCUCGGCGCCUUCUCCCCAGGGAAGCUCAGCAGCAACGCGGUCAGCUAGAGGCCGAGAGCUUCCUGGAACUUAGAGGUGGGAGAGGCCGCGGGCGUCGGUGACGCGCGGGCUGGAGCGCGGGCUAGAGCGGUGGCGCGUUCGGGUGGGAUGGGUGGCCCGGAGGACGGCGGGCGCGGUGCGGGGAAACUGGGAGCCCUAGUGGAAGCUCCGCUCCGCCGCCAGCUCAGCGCGCUUAGCCUCCCCAAGCUUCCGCCUCCUCGCCUGUAAAAUGGAAGGACUGGACUGAGGACCAUCCAUCUAAAGAUGCCAGUCAGCUCAAUCACAUCCAGUCUCGUCCUCUUUGGGCGUGUAUGGCUGCUGCGAAAUGCGCACGCAUCUGUAUGAACUGGAUGUUGUCCAUGGACGAGCUCCUACAGAUAAGUUUGUUAAUAAAAACAGCAGCUCUUUAUUAAGCAC
ensembl:lncRNA novel transcript